UUUGGUUAAGUUAGAAAGGGCGCACGGUGGAUGCCUUGACACUAGGAGUCGAUGAAGGACGGGACUAACGCCGAUAUGCUUCGGGGAGCUGUAAGUAAGCUUUGAUCCGAAGAUUUCCGAAUGGGGAAACCCACCAUACGUAAUGGUAUGGAAUCCUUAUCUGAAUACAUAGGGUAAGGAAGACAGACCCAGGGAACUGAAACAUCUAAGUACCUGGAGGAAGAGAAAGCAAAUGCGAUUUCCUGAGUAGCGGCGAGCGAAACGGAACAUAGCCCAAACCAAGAGGCUUGCCUCUUGGGGUUGUAGGACAUUCUAUACGGAGUUACAAAGGAACGAGGUAGACGAAGCGACCUGGAAAGGUCCGUCGUAGAGGGUAACAACCCCGUAGUCGAAACUUCGUUCUCUCUUGAAUGUAUCCUGAGUACGGCGGAACACGUGAAAUUCCGUCGGAAUCUGGGAGGACCAUCUCCCAAGGCUAAAUACUCCCUAGUGAUCGAUAGUGAACCAGUACCGUGAGGGAAAGGUGAAAAGCACCCCGGAAGGGGAGUGAAAGAGAUCCUGAAACCGUGUGCCUACAAAUAGUCAGAGCCCGUUAACGGGUGAUGGCGUGCCUUUUGUAGAAUGAACCGGCGAGUUACGAUCCCGUGCGAGGUUAAGCUGAAGAGGCGGAGCCGCAGCGAAAGCGAGUCUGAAUAGGGCGUUUAGUACGUGGUCGUAGACCCGAAACCAGGUGAUCUACCCAUGUCCAGGGUGAAGUUCAGGUAACACUGAAUGGAGGCCCGAACCCACGCACGUUGAAAAGUGCGGGGAUGAGGUGUGGGUAGCGGAGAAAUUCCAAUCGAACCUGGAGAUAGCUGGUUCUCCCCGAAAUAGCUUUAGGGCUAGCCUUAAGUGUAAGAGUCUUGGAGGUAGAGCACUGAUUGGACUAGGGGUCCUCAUCGGAUUACCGAAUUCAGUCAAACUCCGAAUGCCAAUGACUUAUCCUUAGGAGUCAGACUGCGAGUGAUAAGAUCCGUAGUCAAAAGGGAAACAGCCCAGACCGCCAGCUAAGGUCCCAAAGUGUGUAUUAAGUGGAAAAGGAUGUGGAGUUGCUUAGACAACUAGGAUGUUGGCUUAGAAGCAGCCACCAUUUAAAGAGUGCGUAAUAGCUCACUAGUCGAGUGACUCUGCGCCGAAAAUGUACCGGGGCUAAAUACAUCACCGAAGCUGCGGAUUGAUACCAAUGGUAUCAGUGGUAGGGGAGCGUUCUAAGGACAGUGAAGUCAGACCGGAAGGACUGGUGGAGUGCUUAGAAGUGAGAAUGCCGGUAUGAGUAGCGAAAGACGGGUGAGAAUCCCGUCCACCGAAUGCCUAAGGUUUCCUGAGGAAGGCUCGUCCGCUCAGGGUUAGUCAGGACCUAAGCCGAGGCCGACAGGCGUAGGCGAUGGACAACAGGUUGAUAUUCCUGUACCACCUCUUUAUCGUUUGAGCAAUGGAGGGACGCAGAAGGAUAGAAGAAGCGUGCGAUUGGUUGUGCACGUCCAAGCAGUUAGGCUGAUAAGUAGGCAAAUCCGCUUAUCGUGAAGGCUGAGCUGUGAUGGGGAAGCUCCUUAUGGAGCGAAGUCUUUGAUUCCCCGCUGCCAAGAAAAGCUUCUAGCGAGAUAAAAGGUGCCUGUACCGCAAACCGACACAGGUAGGCGAGGAGAGAAUCCUAAGGUGUGCGAGAGAACUCUGGUUAAGGAACUCGGCAAAAUGACCCCGUAACUUCGGGAGAAGGGGUGCUUUCUUAACGGAAAGCCGCAGUGAAUAGGCCCAAGCGACUGUUUAGCAAAAACACAGCUCUCUGCGAAGCCGUAAGGCGAAGUAUAGGGGGUGACACCUGCCCGGUGCUGGAAGGUUAAGGAGAGGGGUUAGCGUAAGCGAAGCUCUGAACUGAAGCCCCAGUAAACGGCGGCCGUAACUAUAACGGUCCUAAGGUAGCGAAAUUCCUUGUCGGGUAAGUUCCGACCCGCACGAAAGGUGUAACGAUUUGGGCACUGUCUCAACCAGAGACUCGGUGAAAUUAUAGUACCUGUGAAGAUGCAGGUUACCCGCGACAGGACGGAAAGACCCCGUGGAGCUUUACUGUAGCCUGAUAUUGAAUUUUGGUACAGUUUGUACAGGAUAGGCGGGAGCCUUUUAAACCGGAGCGCUAGCUUCGGUGGAGGCGCUGGUGGGAUACCGCCCUGACUGUAUUGAAAUUCUAACCUACGGGUCGAUAAGACCCGGGAGACAGUGUCAGGUGGGCAGUUUGACUGGGGCGGUCGCCUCCUAAAGUGUAACGGGGGCGCCCAAAGGUUCCCUCAGAAUGGUUGGAAAUCAUUCGUAGAGUGCAAAGGCAUAAGGGAGCUUGACUGCGAGACCUACAAGUCGAGCAGGGACGAAAGUCGGGCUUAGUGAUCCGGUGGUUCCGCAUGGAAGGGCCAUCGCUCAACGGAUAAAAGCUACCCCGGGGAUAACAGGCUUAUCUCCCCCAAGAGUCCACAUCGACGGGGAGGUUUGGCACCUCGAUGUCGGCUCAUCGCAUCCUGGGGCUGUAGUCGGUCCCAAGGGUUGGGCUGUUCGCCCAUUAAAGCGGUACGCGAGCUGGGUUCAGAACGUCGUGAGACAGUUCGGUCCCUAUCCGUCGUGGGCGUAGGAAAUUUGAGAGGAGCUGUCCUUAGUACGAGAGGACCGGGAUGGACGCACCGCUGGUGUACCAGUUGUUCUGCCAAGGGCAUAGCUGGGUAGCUAUGUGCGGAAGGGAUAAGUGCUGAAAGCAUCUAAGCAUGAAGCCCCCCUCAAGAUGAGAUUUCCCAUAGCGUAAGCUAGUAAGAUCCCUGAAAGAUGAUCAGGUUGAUAGGUUCGAGGUGGAAGCAUGGUGACAUGUGGAGCUGACGAAUACUAAUAGAUCGAGGACUUAACCAUAUAA
rnacentral:rRNA from 1 species